UACAGAGGGGGCAAGCGUUAUUCGGAAUUAUUGGGCGUAAAGGGCGCGUAGGCGGCUUGGCAAGUGAUGGGUGAAAUCCCUCGGCUUAACCGAGGAACUGCCCAUCAAACUGCUUGGCUUGAGGCCGGGAGAGGCGAGUGGAAUUCCCAGUGUAGCGGUGAAAUGCGUAGAUAUUGGGAGGAACACCAGUGGCGAAGGCGGCUCGCUGGACCGGUUCUGACGCUGAGGCGCGAAAGCUAGGUAGCAAACGGG
rnacentral:rRNA from 1 species